GCCCAGGAGGGGCAGGUUCCCAGGGUCCCCGCAGCCCCACCGGGCCCCUCUGCCUCAGAGAUUUCGGUGUGUGGAGGCGCUUGGCCUCCUGCAGAAAGCUACACGUCCCUCCCAAAAUACAUCGUCCCCCAUCAUUUCUGUUCUUGGGCUGCCCCAAAUCAGCCUGGAGCUGCUGCCAGGGAGGGGGCAAGUACAGGGAAGGGAAUGCAAGCUCAGUGCAGAAGAGAAACACACAAUGUGAGCGAGCAAAUGCGGAUAUCUAAGACCCGAAUUGCCCCGCUCAGACCAGGCAUCAUGACUUGUGAGCAGAGGCAGGCAGGUGCCCCCCUCAUGGAGCCUAGAAGUCAGCACUUGCAGGGCCCCUCUGCUCACCCCACCAGGAGUGGUUUUAUGGUUUUCGUUGUGUUUUUCAGAGCCGAGGACGGAAUUCAGGGCCUUGUGCAUGCUAGGUGUGAGCUGUCCCCACCACAGCGCUUAGUUGCAGAAGAGGAAGUGAGGUCCACGGAACUUGAGAGCCAUCCAUGCCAUGCAGGGUGCUGCCUCCUGGGUCCUGGUCCUGCUGGUGAGCUCUGUCCCCUGGGGAGAGUUCGGGCCAGGGCUUGGAGGAGCAGGGCCUGGAGAGCCUCAGUGUAGAGGCAGAAGGGAACCAGGCGCCCAGCACGGACAGAGAAAAGAGCUCACAUGUCAUGCAAUGUUUUGAAAACUCCAGUGGGCAAAGCGUGGCCAUGACCACCUGCCUGUUGUACAGUGUGGCCUUAUUAGGAUGCUGUAGACUCACCCAUGCUGCCGACAACACAUCUGCCAACCAGGCGGGGAGCAGCCCCAGAGCAGCCCUUUCUUCCUCCAGGGCCGCACUGGUCAGAACCUCCAGAGAACAGCCAAAAGCAGUGGGCGUCUGAUGUUAAGGAAUUUGCUUACCAAUCAUGAGGCUGGGCAAGUCCAGACUCCAUGAGGGGCUGGCAGGCUGGGGACCAAAAGGCGAGCUGCAGGUCAAGUCCAAAGGCAGUGCCAGCAGAAGUCCUCUUCUUCGGGGGAGUCUGUCUUUUUCCAUGAAGUCCUUCAGGUGAUGAGACGGGGCGCACCCACUUUAUGGCGGUGGUCUACACUACUCAAAGCCUCUUGGUUUAAAGCUUAAUCUCAUCUUUAAAAAAAUACCUUCACAGAAACAUCUAGAACAGUAUUUGAUAAAAUAUCUAGGUACAGGGUUCCAGCCAAGUCGACACAGAAAAUUAACCAUCAUCAUACCUUCUACUAUUGCUGAAUUCCUGACUGCUCUUGUCGCUUCCACUUGGAGACACCUGUUUUCUCCCUGGCAGGAGAAGGGAAGCAUGCAUCUGGGGAGAAGAGAUGAUGUUCUGCGUAUCUUUACAUCCUCUUGGAGGUUCUAGAGUAAUAUUUUGGACAAAAUAGAUACUGAAUACUAUGUGGGUAGCUAUUAAUCUGGCUACUUUUCUUUGGCUUUUAUUUCUCCAGGUAAAAAAAUCAGUAGAACUCUGCGAUGAAAUUUGGUUACUGUUAUGGCUUGUGGCUAGAGGUCCCCCAAAGCCUCCUGUGCCCACAGGUGGGAUUAAGUGUGAUACUGGGAUUAAGGGUGUGCGAUUAGUAAAUGAGUCCACUGAAUGGUCUGGCAUAGUUCUGAGUGUAGACAAUGGCAAGGCCCACCCUAGGUGUGACUGCUCCCUACCCUAAGGGUGUGUGGCCUGGAUAGAAUAUAAGGGACUGAAAGAGGCUGCUGCAGUCACUUGCUGCCUGCCCUGCCAUGGACUGUUUCUUCUCUGCAGUGCCCCUGCCAUGCCGCCCGCCUUAGAGCCAGCCAAUUAUGGACUGAAUCUCUACACACUGUGAGCUAAGCAAACCUUUCCUCCCUUCACUUUGGGUGUCAGGUAUUCUGUCUCAAUAAUCAGAAAUCCAAGGACAAAGUAUUUUAAGUGUAAAUACCAGAAAAAUAGUCCAUUCAAGAACAUGCCUUUUCUUCCAGCUCAGGCCUUUAUGUUGGCCUCUAGCCUCCUGACCUUUGGGAGAACCCAGCACAUGAGGAAUCUGAGGCCCAGGAAGUCUUUCUUUGUGGAAUGUAGGAAUUAUUCCUUUUGCAAUUUCUCUCCUCUAAGUCUUAAUCCUAAUAAUAAAGUGAUUUAUCAGAUUAAGACACUAAUUAAUCCUGUCUGAACAACUUGAUGUUAUCGUGUUUAAUUUCAAAUUCAAUUAUUUUGGUAUUUAAUUACAAAACAGUUAAUUACUUUAUUGUAAUUGUGUAUCUUUUUAAAGUAGAAAGAGCCCAGAAAUCCCUGAUAAGGGGCUAUCCUGAGGCACAACUGUUUCCUACUUUAUCUCUAGCGUGUAUCGCUUUGCUGCUUGAUUGUCCUGGGCUUAAGCUUCUCUUUUAUGUGCUUUUCAGUUUCUCAUUUCCUGUUUGGUUUUGGUUUCUUUUUUAUGACAUCCAGAGCCACAUUCCGCUGCCUGUGUGGGUUUCGGCACCUGGGCCUUCCAUGGCCUUUCUAGAAAGAUCUCUUUUCCCUGCAGCACCCACCACUUCUCUAAGUCAGAGGCUGUGAAUGCCAAUGUUUUGAGAGUUAUCUUGCCUAUGGGCAUUAGUGGCAGGGCCCCCAGUUUGAGCAGCUCCCCUCUUUGGAGUGAAGGUGUUGUGUCUGAGGUCAUGUGGGCUCCCCAGGGACACGGGGACUAUGUAUGCUCUGGCACAGAAGUAUUUCAACAUUUUCAUUUUCACAGCUGGUAGAACUUCACAGAUCCAUGGCCAUUCCCACCAAGCCUGGCUUUACAACUUU
ensembl:lncRNA